GUUCCGGUAGCUCAGUUGGUAGAGCGCCGCCUCGACAAGACGGAGGUCCCUGGUUCGAUUCCAGGCCGGAACA
rnacentral:tRNA from 1 species